rnacentral:misc_RNA from 1 species
GGUAAACGCUCUCUUUUUUGGAGUUCUCCUGUUCCAAAAAAACAUGCAGGGCAAUCGAAAAGAUUUCUCCAUUCCCUCGUUCCCAAGAAGGAGCAACAAAGGAAACUGCUUUUUUAGAAUGAAAGCAAAUCACUUCGCGUAGUCGGAAGCCCGGGUCUCGCGGAUGAUAUUGACCUUGAUCUGGCCUGGGUACUCGAGGUCGCUCUCGAUCUUUUUA